rnacentral:tRNA from 1 species
AAAAAGUUAGUUUAAAACAAAACGUUAAUUUGUCAAAUUAAUAAUAUUAUUUAAUACUUUUUU